GAUGAAGAACGUAGCGAAAUGCGAUAAGUAAUGUGAAUUGCAGAAUUCAGUGAAUCAUCGAAUCUUUGAACGCACAUUGCGCCCGCCAGUAUUCUGGCGGGCAUGCCUGUUCGAGCGUCAUUUCAACCAUCAAGCCCCCGGCUUGUGUUGGGGACCUGCGGCUGCCGCAGGCCCUGAAAACCAGUGGCGGGCUCGCUAGUCACUCCGAGCGUAGUAGUUACAUCUCGCUCAGGGCGUGCUGCGGGUUCCGGCCGUUAAAAACCUUAUUUACCCAAGGUUGACCUCGGAUCAGGUAGGAAGACCCGCUGAACUUAAGCAUAUCAAUAAGCGGAGGA
rnacentral:misc_RNA from 1 species